rnacentral:rRNA from 1 species
ACGAACGCUGGCGGCGUGCCUAAUACAUGCAAGUAGAACGCACAGUUUAUACCGUAGCUUGCUACACCAUAAACUGUGAGUUGCGAACGGGUGAGUAACGCGUAGGUAACCUGCCUGGUAGCGGGGGAUAACUAUUGGAAACGAUAGCUAAUACCGCAUAAUAUUGAUUAUUGCAUGAUAAUUGAUUGAAAGAUGCUAUUGCAUCACUACCAGAUGGACCUGCGUUGUAUUAGCUAGUAGGUGAGGUAACGGCUCACCUGGGCGACGAUACAUAGCCGACCUGAGAGGGUGAUCGGCCACACUGGGACUGAGACACGGCCCAGACUCCUACGGGAGGCAGCAGUAGGGAAUCUUCGGCAAUGGACGAAAGUCUGACCGAGCAACGCCGCGUGAGUGAAGAAGGUUUUCGGAUCGUAAAGCUCUGUUGUAAGAGAAGAACGGGUGUGAGAGUGGAAAGUUCACACUGUGACGGUAUCUUACCAGAAAGGGACGGCUAACUACGUG